GAGUAACACGUGGGUGAUCUGCCCUGCACUUUGGGAUAAGCCUGGGAAACUGGGUCUAAUACCGGAUAGGACCACGCGCUUCAUGGUGUGUGGUGGAAAGCUUUUGCGGUGUGGGAUGGGCCCGCGGCCUAUCAGCUUGUUGGUGGGGUAAUGGCCUACCAAGGCGACGACGGGUAGCCGGCCUGAGAGGGUGACCGGCCACACUGGGACUGAGAUACGGCCCAGACUCCUACGGGAGGCAGCAGUGGGGAAUAUUGCACAAUGGGCGCAAGCCUGAUGCAGCGACGCCGCGUGAGGGAUGACGGCCUUCGGGUUGUAAACCUCUUUCAAUAGGGACGAAGCGCAAGUGACGGUACCUAUAGAAGAAGGACCGGCCAACUACGUGC
rnacentral:rRNA from 1 species